CCUGAUGCAGCAACGCCGCGUGAACGAUGAAGGUCUUCGGAUCGUAAAGUUCUGUUGCAGGGGAAGAUAAUGACGGUACCCUGUGAGGAAGCCCCGGCUAACUACGUGCCAGCAGCCGCGGUAAUACGUAGGGGGCUAGCGUUAUCCGGAUUUACUGGGCGUAAAGGGUGCGUAGGUGGUCCUUCAAGUCGGUGGUUAAAGGCUACGGCUCAACCGUAGUAAGCCGCCGAAACUGGAGGACUUGAGUGCAGGAGAGGAAAGUGGAAUUCCCAGUGUAGCGGUGAAAUGCGUAGAUAUUGGGAGGAACACCAGUAGCGAAGGCGGCUUUCUGGACUGCAACUGACACUGAGGCACGAAAGCGUGGGUAGCAAACAGGAUUAGAUACCCUGGUAGUCCACGCUGUAAACGAUGAGUACUAGGUGUCGGGGGUUACCCCCCUCGGUGCCGCAGCUAACGCAUUAAGUACUCCGCCUGGGGAGUACGCACGCCAGUGUGAAACUCAAAGGAAUUGACGGGGACCCGCACAAGUAGCGGAGCAUGUGGUUUAAUUCGAAGCAACGCGAAGAACCU
rnacentral:rRNA from 1 species